CCUCCUUUUCUUGGCAGGGACCAAGCUUGUGGUCCUGCUCCCUGUAAUGUACAGAGGAAGAGGGAAAGGGCUCUGCCCCUCCUCAUCAGUCUUCGGUGCCGGUGGCUUCCCAUCCUCUGGUUCUAUCCUCAAGCGCCAAGACAUAG
ensembl:snoRNA